AAUUUAUUUUUCAGUUACACGCAUCCAACAUAAAAUUACCUACCCAAUACCAUAUUCCAAUACAUCCUAAAUGACGCACAUCAUGAUUUCCAACGAUAAAAUUUAAUAUUAUGCCCAAAAGAGGUAAAAACAAAAAAAAUCAGCGUAAUAUUACACCAUAAUCAGUAAUAUCACUUCAUAAAACAUGCUGUAGAAUGUCAACAAAGCAAGCUUCCCGCUAACUGUCAGUCUUCGUUCCACUCGCAUCCAAAAACUUUGUUCGUGGAAUAUUUUAAAGAUUUAGAUUCCAAUAAAGUUUAGGAACAGUGUCCUUUCAGCCCCGGAUAGAGACAAAAUGAAGUCCUUGCUGAAUAUGAACCGCAAACAACCAAAUGGAUGCAGUGGAGCGGUGAAAAAAUAAAGAACGGAGGAGGUGCGAUAAGUCGGCAGAUACGUUGCUACCCGCGGCAAACCGGCACCGAAUGAAAUUCUGCAGAUACAAAAUUGUCAUCGCUUCUCGGAUGUGAAACGUGCACUUCAUACCGAACCAAAGUGUCGGGAUCAUGGCCCCAUUUGUUCAAAGCAUGCUGGAUGUUGAAGGAGGAUGCCGGAUGAUGUCCGUUCAGAAUGAAAUUGAUAGAACGCUUC